rnacentral:rRNA from 1 species
ACGCUCGACACCUACGGAGGCAGCAGUGGGGAAUAUUGCACAAUGGGGGAAACCCUGAUGCAGCGACGCCGCGUGGAGGAAGAAGGUCUUCGGAUUGUAAACUCCUGUUGUUGGGGAAAAAGAGGAUGGUACCCAACAAGGAAGUGACGGCUAACUACGUGCCAGCACGCCGACGGUAAUCUGAGGCGGGCGUGGACGAAGGC